CGGAGAUGACUUUUGGAGAAUUUGGCAGUCUUGUUCUUAUUGGAUUAUGGGGCACCACUUUCAGAUAAAAACAUGGAUCUGAUUGGCAUCAUCCAGUAUCCAUGGAAACCCUGCUCCAUAAGAUUGGCAUUAUCCUGUAGUAGUGUCACAGCCUGCAGUCGUUUAAUGCCACUUCUUCUGAGGCCAGGAUUCCACGCCCAAGUGCAUUUAGUAGGUAACUUUUAAGAGUAAUACAUAUAUUUACUGUCUUAACACUUGAUGCAUACUCCACAGAAGACUAUGGAAGGACUUCCGUUGACUUCACUGGGUUUUGCUUGGUUUACCUUUCAUGAAAGCACAGGGAUGAGGAGG